AACCAGCACCUCAAGUGGUCAGGAGGAUUAUUGGGCCUAAAGCAUCCGUAGCCGGCUUUGUUAGUUUUCGGUUAAAUCCAUGCGCUCAACGCAUGGGCUGUCGGAAAUACUGCAGAGCUAGGGAGUGGGAGAGGUAGACGGUACUCAGUAGGAAGGGGUAAAAUCCUUUGAUCUAUUGAUGACCACCUGUGGCGAAGGCGGCCUCCUGGCUCGACACUGACACUGAGGUGCGAAAGCGUGGGGAGCAAACAGG
rnacentral:rRNA from 1 species